rnacentral:rRNA from 1 species
UUUAUGGAGAGUUUGAUCCUGGCUCAGAGUGAACGCUGGCGGCGUGCCUAAUACAUGCAAGUCGAACGAUGAAGCUUCUAGCUUGCUAGAAGUGGAUUAGUGGCGCACGGGUGAGUAAGGUAUAGUUAAUCUGCCCUACACAAGAGGACAACAGUUGGAAACGACUGCUAAUACUCUAUACUCCUGCUUAACACAAGUUGAGUAGGGAAAGUUUUUCGGUGUAGGAUGAGACUAUAUAGUAUCAGCUAGUUGGUAAGGUAAUGGCUUACCAAGGCUAUGACGCUUAACUGGUCUGAGAGGAUGAUCAGUCACACUGGAACUGAGACACGGUCCAGACUCCUACGGGAGGCAGCAGUAGGGAAUAUUGCGCAAUGGGGGAAACCCUGACGCAGCAACGCCGCGUGGAGGAUGACACUUUUCGGAGCGUAAACUCCUUUUCUUAGGGAAGAAUUCUGACGGUACCUAAGGAAUAAGCACCGGCUAACUCCGUGCCAGCAGCCGCGGUAAUACGGAGGGUGCAAGC